rnacentral:rRNA from 1 species
GUGGGGAAUCUUGCGCAAUGGGCGAAAGCCUGACGCAGCAACGCCGCGUGCGGGAUGAAGGCCUUCGGGUUGUAAACCGCUGUCAAGAGGGACGAAGCGAAAGUGACGGUACCUCUAGAGGAAGCCCCGGCUAACUACGUGCCAGCAGCCGCGGUAAUACGUAGGGGGCAAGCGUUGUCCGGAUUUAUUGGGCGUAAAGCGCGCGUAGGCGGCUUGUCAAGUCGGGUGUGAAAACCGGGGGCUUAACCCGCGGACUGCACUCGAAACUGGCAGGCUGGAGUCCGGUAGAGGAAAGUGGAAUUCCUAGUGUAGCGGUGAAAUGCGCAGAUAUUAGGAAGAACACCAGUGGCGAAGGCGGCUUUCUGGGCCGCGACUGACGCUGAGGCGCGAAAGCUAGGGGAGCGAACAGGAUUAGAAACCCCAGUAGUCC